rnacentral:rRNA from 1 species
UACGUAGGGGGCUAGCGUUGUCCGGAAUCAUUGGGCGUAAAGAGCGUGUAGGCGGCCCGGUAAGUCCGCUGUAAAGUCAAAGGCUCAACCUUUGAAUGUCAGUGGAUACUGCCGGGCUAGAGUCCGGAAGAGGCGAGUGGAACUCCUGGUGUAGCGGUGGAAUGCGCAGAUAUCAGGAAGAACACCAACGGCGAAGGCAGCUCGCUGGGACGGUACUGACGCUGAGACGCGAAAGCGUGGGGAGCGAACAGG